rnacentral:siRNA from 1 species
AGAAAGUGGUUCUCUUUGUGUCU